rnacentral:misc_RNA from 1 species
AACGCACAUUGCACUUUUCGGUAUCACGGGAAGUAUCUCUGUUUUAGAAUCAUUUUAACUCUCCAUACAUUGCUCUUUGACUAAUGCAAACGUUGAGAAGGAUGGUGUUUUCCUUUUGCGAGGAAUUCGCUUGAAUGCAUGGUAUCCCAUGAUGUUGAAUCAUGUUGAUGGACAUUUUACUUGAAGAUUCAGUUCUUGAUAAGUGAAAGUCAAUGUUGAAACGAGUAAGUUAAACUAUGGCUCAUCACGAAGUUGGCUUUAGUAAAAAGUUAAGCACAUGAUCUCAGAUCAGAUAAGGUCACCCGCUGAGCUUAA